rnacentral:rRNA from 1 species
GAUGAACGCUGGCGGCGUGCCUAAUACAUGCAAGUCGAGCGAACAGACGAGGAUCUUGCUCCUCUGACGUUAGCGGCGGACGGGUGAGUAACACGUGGAUAACCUACCUAUAAGACUGGGAUAACUUCGGGAAACCGGAGCUAAUACCGGAUAAUAUAUUGAACCGCAUGGUUCAUAGUGAAAGACGGUUUUGCUGUCACUUAUAGAUGGAUCCGCGCCGCAUUAGCUAGUUGGUAAGGUAACGGCUUACCAAGGCAACGAUGCGUAGCCGACCUGAGAGGGUGAUCGGCCACACUGGAACUGAGACACGGUCCAGACUCCUACGGGAGGCAGCAGUAGGGAAUCUUCCGCAAAGGGCGAAAGCCUGACGGAGCAACGCCGCGUGAGUGAUGAAGGUCUUCGGAUCGUAAAACUCUGUUAUUAGGGAAGAACAAAUGUGUAAGUAACUAUGCACGUCUUGACGGUACCUAAUCAGAAAGCCACGGCUAACUACGUG